rnacentral:rRNA from 1 species
GACGAACGCUGGCGGCAAGCUUAACACAUGCAAGUCGAGCGCCGUAGCAAUACGGAGUGGCAGACGGGUGAGUAACACGUGGGAACGUGCCUUUCGGUUCGGAACAACUGAGGGAAACUUCAGCUAAAACCGGAUACGCCCUUCGGGGGAAAGUUUACGCCGAAAGAUCGGCCCGCGUCAGAUUAGGUAGUUGGCGGGGUAAUGGCCCACCAAGCCGAUGAUCUGUAGCUGUUCUGAGAGGAAGAUCAGCCACACUGGGACUGAGACACGGCCCAGACUCCUACGGGAGGCAGCAGUGGGGAAUAUUGGACAAUGAGCGCAAGCCUGAUCCAGCUAUGCCGCGUGGAUGAAGAAGGCCUUCGGGUUGUAAAGUCCUUUCGGCGGGGAAGAUAAUGACGGUACCCGCAGAAGAAGCCCCGGCUAAUUUCGUGCCAGCAGCCGCCGUAA